UCAAAUCCGAUAAAGUCCGAUAACGCCCGAAGGGCUUUAUGAUAGAUUUGACUACGCCCCGACCGAAAUUAUCACCUCAUAAUAUUCGAAGAAUGAUUCCUUAUUACUUAUAUUAAUUGCAAUUUGUACAUUUAAAAGCAAUAUUGUAUCAAAACCAUUAAUUUCAUGAAGCACAUGGUAUGUAUUCGUACGCGGCGCAGCCAAUACCGUUUUUCGAUUAUGCUAUAAGACACGACCAUUUUGUGUCACUCAUUUUUUAGUUAUUGGGUUUUAGUGUUCAAAAUUGAUUUGUGAUGUUGUCGAAGACAAAGACAGUUGAAAAUGUAAAUAUACAUGUAGUUAUAUAUGUUCGGAGAGUUCAUGAGUUUUAUUUAACACCACCUACUUCUUUCAAUUGCAUAUUUUGUGGAAAAAGCUAUACUUGUUAUUUUUAUAUUCUGUAUAUCAAGGUAUCUCUCUCACUUUGUUUUAUAUUUAGGAAAUACAUAUUGUUAAUUAAUGCAGACAUAUUGUUUUUUUUUUUUUAAAAUGUUUGUUUUCCAUCGGUGUUUAUACUUUCAAUGUUGGAUAAUAUUCAUUAUUACAUGUACCAUGUAAUCGUUCAAGCUGUAAUAAAGGAGACUAUUUUAACGAC
rnacentral:misc_RNA from 1 species